UAACCUGCCCAUCAGAAGGGGAUAACACUUGGAAACAGGUGCUAAUACCGUAUAACAAUCGAAACCGCAUGGUUUUGAUUUGAAAGGCGCUUUCGGGUGUCGCUGAUGGAUGGACCCGCGGUGCAUUAGCUAGUUGGUGAGGUAACGGCUCACCAAGGCCACGAUGCAUAGCCGACCUGAGAGGGUGAUCGGCCACAUUGGGACUGAGACACGGCCCAAACUCCUACGGGAGGCAGCAGUAGGGAAUCUUCGGCAAUGGACGAAAGUCUGACCGAGCAACGCCGCGUGAGUGAAGAAGGUUUUCGGAUCGUAAAACUCUGUUGUUAGAGAAGAACAAGGAUGAGAGUAACUGUUCAUCCCUUGACGGUAUCUAACCAGAAAGCCACGGCUAACUACGUGCCAGCAGCCGCGGUAAUACGUAGGUGGCAAGCGUUGUCCGGAUUUAUUGGGCGUAAAGCGAGCGCAGGCGGUUUCUUAAGUCUGAUGUGAAAGCCCCCGGCUCAACCGGGGAGGGUCAUUGGAAACUGGGAGACUUGAGUGCAGAAGAGGAGAGUGGAAUUCCAUGUGUAGCGGUGAAAUGCGUAGAUAUAUGGAGGAACACCAGUGGCGAAGGCGGCUCUCUGGUCUGUAACUGACGCUGAGGCUCGAAAGCGUGGGGAGCAAACAGGAUUAGAUACCCUGGUAGUCCACGCCGUAAACGAUGAGUGCUAAGUGUUGGAGGGUUUCCGCCCUUCAGUGCUGCAGCUAACGCAUUAAGCACUCCGCCUGGGGAGUACGACCGCAAGGUUGAAACUCAAAGGAAUUGACGGGGGCCCGCACAAGCGGUGGAGCAUGUGGUUUAAUUCGAAGCAACGCGAAGAACCUUACCAGGUCUUGACAUCCUUUGACCACUCUAGAGAUAGAGCUUCCCCUUCGGGGGCAAAGUGACAGGUGGUGCAUGGUUGUCGUCAGCUCGUGUCGUGAGAUGUUGGGUUAAGUCCCGCAACGAGCGCAACCCUUAUUGUUAGUUGCCAUCAUUCAGUUGGGCACUCUAGCAAGACUGCCGGUGACAAACCGGAGGAAGGUGGGGAUGACGUCAAAUCAUCAUGCCCCUUAUGACCUGGGCUACACACGUGCUACAAUGGGAAGUACAACGAGUUGCGAAGUCGCGAGGCUAAGCUAAU
rnacentral:rRNA from 1 species